GACGACUGGCGGCGGUGCCUAACACAUGCAAGUCGUAACGGAGCCAGCCCCUUCGGGGACUGACUUAGUGGCGAACGGGUGAGUAACGCGUGAGAAAACCUGCCUUUCAGGUUGGGGGACAACAGUUGGAAACGACUGCUAAUACCGCAUAAUGUCAGUUUGGGGGCAUCCUCGAAUGACCAAAGAUUUAUUGCUGAAAGAUGGUCUCGCGUCUGAUUAGCUAGAUGGCGGGGUAACGGCCACCAUGGCGACGAUCAGUAGCCGGUCUGAGAGGAUGAACGGCCACAUUGGGACUGAGAUACGGCCCAGACUCCUACGGGAGGCAGCAGGUGGGGAAUAUUGGGCAAUGGGGAAACCCUGACCCAGCAACGCCGCGUGAGGGAAGAAGGGUUUCGGCUCGUAAACCUCUGUCCUAUGGGACGAAGAAGUGACGGUACCAUAGGAGGAAGCCCCGGCUAACUACGUG
rnacentral:rRNA from 1 species